rnacentral:lncRNA from 1 species
UCUUCAAGCUAAAGUGGAUAAGGAGCGUUGGACAGAUGCGGCAUCCUAUGUCCUCACAAAGGGAAAGCAUGUCAGCAUUUCCACAUUGCAAAAAGAAGAGACUGACGAUGACUGUUGGGCUGACGAGGACCAGAGGGUCCUGUACGGACUAAUUCUGUCCAUAAAGACACCCAAGAAGGACGCCAAGAAAAUACAGUACCAACGGCAGGGGAAGAUGCUUUCGACAUACGACCGGUUGCUACUACUGAGGGAGCUUCAAACGGGACAAGCGUUUUACAACAU